CGAGUGGCGGACGGGUGAGUAACGCGUGGGAAUCUACCUUUUAGUGGGGGAUAGCCCGGAGAAAUCCGGAUUAAUACCGCAUAAGCCCUACGGGGGAAAGCUGGGGAUCUUCGGACCUGGCGCUAUUAGAUGAGCCCGCGUUAGAUUAGCUAGUUGGUGGGGUAAAGGCCUACCAAGGCGACGAUCUAUAGCUGGUCUGAGAGGACGAUCAGCCACACUGGGACUGAGACACGGCCCAG
rnacentral:rRNA from 1 species